rnacentral:misc_RNA from 1 species
GAAAUGCGAUAAGUAAUGUGAAUUGCAGAAUUCAGUGAAUCAUCGAAUCUUUGAACGCACCUUGCGCUCCUUGGUAUUCCUUGGAGCAUGCCUGUUUGAGUAUCAUGAAAUCUUCAAAGUAAAUCUUUUGUUAACUCAAUUGGUUUCUACUUUGGUAUUGGAGGUCUUUGCAGCUUCACACCUGCUCCUCUUUGUUCAUUGGCUGGAUCUCAGUGUUAUGCUUGGUUCCACUCGGCGUGAUAAGUUAUCUAUCGCUGAGGACACUGUAAAAGGUGGCCAAGGUAAAUGCAGAUGAACCGCUUCUAAUAGUCCAUUGACUUGGACAAUACUUUUAUGAUCUGAUCUCAAAUCAGGUAGGACUGCCCGCUGAACUUAAGC